CAAGUGUCAACACCGACCGCUACUCGCACUUUUUAUUAAAAUGAUGACAAAACAAGUAAGUGCUAUUAUUUAUUGGACGAUUGCCAUUGAGGAACAAACACGCGAUUGGUUCGGCAUGUACUCAGAUAUCCAAGGUGCCUGAACCACGUGACUUUUUCGGCUAUGUGUGGGACAAUCGGAUGUAAACAAAACGUCGCUUCAGAAUGCCUUUGUUUGCGAACAGUGUGGCA